ACCGAACGCUGGCGUCAGGCGUAACACAUGCAAGUCGAGCGCCCCGCAAGGGGAGCGGCAGACGGGAGAGUAACGCGUGGGAAUCUACCCACCUCUACGGUUUAACGUAUGGAUGCGUGUGCUAAUACCGUAUACGGCCUUCGGGAGACAGAUUUAUCGGAGAUGGAUAAGCCCGCGUGGGAUUAGAUAGAUGGUGGGGUAAAGGCCGACCAAGGCGACGAUCCAUAGCCGGUCUGAGAGGAUGAUCAGCCACACUGGGAUCGAGACACGGCCCAGAAUCCUACGGGAGGCAGCAGUGGGGAAUAUUGGACAAUGGGCGCAAGCAUGAUCCAGCCAUGCCGCGUGAGUGAUGAAGGCCCUAGGGUUGUAAAGCUCUUUCACCGGUGAAGAUAAUGACGGUAACCGGAGAAGAAGCCCCGGCUAACUUCGUGCCAGCCGCCGCAGUAAGAC
rnacentral:rRNA from 1 species